rnacentral:rRNA from 1 species
GCCAAUUGACGUGGGGGAACCUGACCGCGAUGCCGCGUGUGCGAAGAAGGCCUGCGGGUUGUAAAGCACUUUAGUUGGGGAAGAAAGUUCAAGAGUCGAAUAGGCUUUUGAUUUGACGUUACCCAAAGAAUAAGCACCGGCUAACUCUGUGCCAGCAGCCGCGGUAAUACAGAGGGUGCGAGCGUUAAUCGGAAUUACUGGGCGUAAAGGGCGCGUAGGCGGUUAUGUAAGUUAGAUGUGAAAUCCCCGGGCUUAACCUGGGAAUGGCAUUUAAUACUGUAUGACUAGAGUAGAGUAGAGGGAAGUGGAAUUUCCGGUGUAGCGGUGAAAUGCGUAGAUAUCGGAAAGAACACCAGUGGCGAAGGCGGCUUCCUGGACUCAUACUGACGUUGAGGCGCGAAA